rnacentral:rRNA from 1 species
CGUAGGGUGCGAGCGUUAAUCGGAAUUACUGGGCGUAAAGCGUGCGCAGGCGGUGAUGUAAGACAGAUGUGAAAUCCCCGGGCUCAACCUGGGACCUGCAUUUGUGACUGCAUCGCUGGAGUACGGUAGAGGGGGAUGGAAUUCCGCGUGUAGCAGUGAAAUGCGUAGAUAUGCGGAGGAACACCGAUGGCGAAGGCAAUCCCCUGGACCUGUACUGACGCUCAUGCACGAAAGCGUGGGGAGCAAACAGGAUUAGAUACCCUGGUAGUCCACGCCCUAAACGAUGUCAACUGGUUGUUGGGUCUUUACUGACUCAGUAACGAAGCUAACGCGUGAAGUUGACCGCCUGGGGAGUACGGCCGCAAGGUUG